rnacentral:rRNA from 1 species
GAGUUUGAUCCUGGCUCAGAGUGAACGCUGGCGGCGUGCCUAAUACAUGCAAGUCGAACGGUAACAGGAAGUAGCUUGCUACUUUGCUGAUUAGUGGCGCACGGGUGAGUAAUGCAUAGGUCAUGUGCCCCAUAGUCUGGGAUAGCCACUGGAAACGGUGAUUAAUACUGGAUACUCCCGAGAGGGGAAAGUUUUUCGCUAUGGGAUCAGCCUAUGUCCUAUCAGCUUGUUGGUGAGGUAAUGGCUCACCAAGGCUAUGACGGGUAUCCGGCCUGAGAGGGUGAACGGACACACUGGAACUGAGACACGGUCCAGACUCCUACGGGAGGCAGCAGUAGGGAAUAUUGCUCAAUGGGGGAAACCCUGAAGCAGCAACGCCGCGUGGAGGAUGAAGGUCUUCGGAUUGUAGACUCCUUUUCUAAGAGAAGAUUAUGACCG